UGAGCAAUCUGCCCUUCUCAUCGGAAUAAGCGUUGGAAACGACGUCUAAUGCCGAAUACGACCUCCUUUCGCAUGAUCGGAGGUGGAAAGCUCCGGCGGAGAAGGAUGAGCUCGCGGCCUAUCAGCUAGUUGGUGUGGGUAAUGGCCCACCAAGGCGACGACGGGUAGCCGGCCUGAGAGGGUGACCGGCUACACUGGGACUGAGACACGGCCCAGACUCCGUACGGGGGNAGCG
rnacentral:rRNA from 1 species